rnacentral:lncRNA from 1 species
GAGUGCACACGCUGAAAUGUCUCGCCUUCUAUACUAAUCAUUGAUAUUAUGCUGAUAGUCCUAAGUAUAAAGCUAAGCUUUAUUACAACUGUCACAUAAACUUAACAUUAACCAAGAUAACUAAACAAAGACCAAUGAACCUUGAAAAUGAAGUCAAGGUCAGAUGAACCAUGCCAGGCAGACAUGUACAGCUAACAAUGCUUCUA